UACACCUACGGGAGGCAGCAGUGGGGAAUAUUGGACAAUGGGCGCAAGCCUGAUCCAGCCAUACCGCGUGGGUGAAGAAGGCCUUCGGGUUGUAAAGCCCUUUUGUUGGGAAAGAAAAGCAGUCGGUUAAUACCCGGUUGUUCUGACGGUACCCAAAGAAUAAGCACCGGCUAACUUCGUGCCAGCAGCCGCGGUAAUACGAAGGGUGCAAGCGUUACUCGGAAUUACUGGGCGUAAAGCGUGCGUAGGUGGUUGUUUAAGUCUGUUGUGAAAGCCCUGGGCUCAACCUGGGAAUUGCAGUGGAUACUGGGCGACUAGAGUGUGGUAGAGGGUAGUGGAAUUCCCGGUGUAGCAGUGAAAUGCGUAGAGAUCGGGAGGAACAUCCAUGGCGAAGGCAGCUACCUGGACCAACACUGACACUGAGGCACGAAAGCGUGGGGAGCAAACAGGAUUAGAUACCCUGGUAGUCCACGCCCUAAACGAUGCGAACUGGAUGUUGGGUGCAAUUUGGCACGCAGUAUCGAAGCUAACGCGUUAAGUUCGCCGCCUGGGGAGUACGGUCGCAAGACUGAAACUCAAAGGAAUUGACGGGGGCCCGCACAAGCGGUGGAGUAUGUGGUUUAAUUCGAUGCAACGCGAAGAACCUUACCUGGUCUUGACAUGUCGAGAACUUUCCAGAGAUGGAUUGGUGC
rnacentral:rRNA from 1 species